rnacentral:lncRNA from 1 species
UUCCUUAUUUCACCUGAUUUAUAUUUUGAUUUAUGGCAUGGCAUGUUUUCUUGAAAAUGUUAAAGAUUUGAGAUUUAAAUGUUGAGAUUUUAUAUGGUUAUAUAUUUCUGGGAAAGUAUACAGGUUUAUACAGGUUUUUACGGCGAGGGGAUAUAACUGUUUUAAUGAAAUGUUUUGCAAAACUAAUUUGUUUUACUGACCCACUCAUUUUGUUUUGCGCCCCUCCAGGUUCUAGUUUAGCGGUGGUUGGCUCACGAGGUCCUUUCCGGCUUUCUGACAGAUUUGGGACAUGUAGGACUCACCUGAGGGUGAUGUAUUCUUAUUUUAGUCCUACUUGACUGCAGUUAACCUAUGCUCUGAACUUAUGUGUUUACUUGUAACUCGUCCGGUUAUGUCCGUAGGUGGUUAUGUUGAGUUUGGUUUGAAUUUCUGUUGAUUUAUGUUGUUGUUACGCUUCCGUGUCGUGCUUAUGGUUACGUCACGCCCACGUGACGGCCAGCACACCUGGAUCCUCCGGAUCAGGGUGUGUCAGUUUGGUAUCAGAGCUUAGGUUGCAGUCCUGUAAAUUGUUAAUGUCUUAACGAUCUUUUGAUGUUUUCUGUCAGAAUCAUGCCGCCUCGUAGAGAGCGUAGGGAGUCCCGCCGUACUUCUGAACCUAAUUUCCCGGAUAUUACUCAGUUAGGGGAAGCGAUGGCCCAGGCUUUACAGAAUGUGAUUCGUCCUCCCCCUCCUCCGAGGACACCUCUGGAGACCAUGUACAACUUGAAGUUAGAUCGGUUUAUGGGUAAUGAAAGUCAUGAGGGGGCAGAGAAAUGGCUAGAUCAUAUUGAGAAAACCUUCCAGGUGAUGCAGAGUCAGGGGAAUCUCCCUGCUAAUAGGUGGGUGGAGACCACCACUUGGUUUCUGGGUCGUGAACCAGCAGCAUGGUGGAUAAAUCAGACUAGGUAUAUGUCACCUGAGACGGCAGCCGACUGGAAAGUAUUCAAAAAGCAUUUUAUGAAGAGAUUCGUUCCUCCUGAGUAUAUUGACCGUAAGAAGCAGGAAUUCACCAGGUUGAAACAGAGAAAUAUGUCGGCACAUGAAUAUUAUAGAAAGUUUACUGAUUUGUCUCGUUAUGACACUGAUACAGCUGGUAAUCAGGGAGAGAUGCUUCGACGUUUCAAGUUGGGAUCUAAGAAGAAGUGGCGUACCUUUGCCAAUGCACUUCCCUGCGCUGAUUAUCAUGAGUAUUUCGAGAUUUUGGUUAGGAUGGAGGACUCUGAUAAUCUUCCUGACAGUGAGGAUGACGAGGACAAGAAUGAGGGUCAGAAGAAGAAUGAUAAGGGUAAGGGUAUUUCUAUUCCUGGACCUCGACAGACACAGAGUUUUAAGAAGAAGAGUGGAGCGAGUUCGAGUUUUCUUCUAGUGGGGGAUAUAGUUUUUACUGGCCCGAGGAGAGGUGGUGGAAGAUUUUCUGGUGGACCCAGAUUUCAGGGUCAGAGGGACGCUGGUGGAUCUGGCGCUCCAUGGUGCCGCCGCUGUAACUCCCGUCACCAUGGUGAGUGUAGGAGAGGUUCUGGUGCUUGUUUUACGUGUGGGCAGAUGGGACAUCGGGCUUCUCAGUGCCCCCAGGGUCAGCAGAGACCGCAGCAGACUAAUAUGCCACCUCCAGCACCAGUUCAGCAGAGUUUUAGACCGGGUGGUUAUGGCCAGUCGAGUCGUGGUGGUGCCUACCACUAUCAGGGGGAUGCUGCUCCGUAUGCUUCCGGACCUUAUCAGUAUUCUCAGGAGCCAUAUCCUCAGGCAGGGUAUUCUCAGGAUUUUGGAGGUUAUUCUUCUUAUUCCUCUAUGCCAACUGGUGGAUCGCAGUGGCAUCAAGGAGGUCAGCCCCGUCAGGGGGAAAUUGCUACUGGUGGUGCAGGAUCAUCCAGGCAGCCUAGUCAGCCAGGCCAGGGACGUAAUCCUCAGGGACGAGGUAAUCAGGGCAAUAGAGGCCGAGGUGGACGUCAGCAAGCUCAGGGGCGAGUUAAUCAUAUGUCCCUGCAGGAGGCUCAGAACCAUCCAGACUUGAUAAUGGGUACGUUAAAUGUUCUUGGUCAUUUUGCUAAGGUUUUGAUUGAUUGUGGUGCUACGCACUCUGUGAUUUCUCAUACGUUUGCUCAAAUAACCCAACCUCACCCUUCACCUCUAGGAUUUGAUUUAGAGUUUGCCAUGCCUAGAGGAGAUAAAUGUUAUGUGGAUAGUGUGUAUCUGGGGUGUCCAGUGAUGGUUGAGGGCGUGAUUAUAUCCGCUGAUCUUAUUCCGUUAGAUAUUGUGGAUUUUGAUGUAAUUUUAGGGGCCGAUUGGUUCCAUAAUCGUGCCCAUAUUGAUUGUUAUGGUAAAUCAGUUACUUUUUAUCGUCCUGGAUUACCCGAGGUUACUUUUGUGGGCGAGAGAAGUGGGGUGAGACAUGGAGUUAUUUCUGCCAUGAGGGCGAGGGAAAUUAUUAUCGAAGGGUUGUCAGGGAUAUUUGGCACAUGUGGUAUUAAAUGAUGUUGCUCCUACUAGUAUAGAAAGAAGUUGGUGUGGUCAGACAUUAUCCGGAUGUUUUUCCCUGAUGAUUUGCCGGGAUUGCCGCCAGACAGAGAGGUGGAAUUCUCUAUUGAUUUGCUUCCAGGUACGGACCCUAUAUCUCUGACUCCUUAUAGAAUGGCUCCUGCUGAGUUGAGAGAAUUAAAAAUCCAGUUGCAAGAAUUACUUGAUAAAGGUUUUAUUCAACCUAGUUCUUCACCUUGGGGUGCCCCAGUAUUAUUUGUGAAGAAGAAGGAUGGAACUCUUCGAUUGUGUAUUGAUUAUAGACAAUUGAACCGGGUAACGAUUAAAAACCGUUAUCCAUUGCCUCGCAUUGAUGAUUUGUUUGAUCAGCUGAAAGGUGCGUGUGUAUUUUCUAAGAUUGAUUUGAGAUCUGGGUAUUAUCAAUUGAAGAUUAAGGAAGAUGAUGUACCUAAGACGGCUUUCCGGACUCGGUACGGGCAUUAUGAAUUUUUGGUUAUGCCAUUUGGGUUGACUAAUGCACCUGCAGCUUUUAUGAGAUUAAUGAAUGAGGUAUUCCAGAAAUAUCUUGAUAAAUUCGUUAUUGUUUUUAUUGACGAUAUUCUGGUAUACUCUAAGUCCCAAGCAGAUCAUAUCCGACACCUUAAUUUGGUGUUAAGGAAAUUAAGGGAGCAUCAGUUGUAUGCCAAGUUCAGUAAAUGUCAGUUUUGGUUGACUGAAGUGGCAUUUUUGGGGCAUGUUGUAUCAGCUCAAGGUAUUCAAGUUGAUCCUCAAAAGAUUGCAGCAGUGGAGAAUUGGGAGCAACCUCGAACCGUCACGGAGGUACGAAGUUUUCUUGGCUUAGCAGGUUAUUAUCGACGGUUCGUUCAGGAUUUCUCUAUGAUUGCUUUACCGUUGACAAAGUUGACCAGGAAGGAUGUUAAAUUUGAGUGGGAUGAGAAUUGUGAGCGGAGUUUUCAGCAAUUAAAGUAUUGCCUCACUCAUGCACCGGUGUUGGUACUUCCUGACGAUAGCGGUAAUUUUGAGAUAUAUAGUGAUGCUUCAUUAAAUGGUUUGGGAUGUGUUUUGAUGCAGCAUAAUAAGGUGAUUGCCUAUGCUUCUAGGCAGUUGAAAAAUCAUGAAAGGAAUUAUCCUACUCACGAUCUUGAAUUGGCAGCAAUUGUUUUUGCUUUGAAAAUUUGGAGACAUUAUUUGUAUGGUGAGAAGUGUAAGAUCUUCACUGAUCAUAAGAGUCUUCAGUACUUAUUCACCCAGCAUGAUCUUAAUCUUCGUCAGCGAAGGUGGAUGGAAUUGCUAAGUGAUUAUGAUUGUUCUAUUGAAUACCAUCCAGGUCGUGCUAAUGUAGUAGCGGAUGCACUGAGUAGGAAACCUCAAGGUAGGCUUAAUGCCUUAUAUGCUAGUCGUGUUCCUCUUCUUGCUGAAUUGAGGACAACGGGGGUAAGGUUGGAAAUUGAAGACCGAGAUGGAGCUUUUCUUGCUAGUUUUCAAGUCAGGCCAGUUUUGGUGGACCGUAUACUUGCAGCUCAGAUGGUGAAUGAGGAAGUUCAGGAGUUGGUUCAGUUAAGAAGUGAAGGGAAAAAGAAAGACCUCAGAAUUCGGGAAUCAGAUGGUAUGCUCAUGCAAGAAGACAGAAUGUAUGUUCCGAAUAAUGAGGAAUUGAAGAAGGAAAUUCUGGACGAAGCACAUUGUUCAGCUUAUGCAAUGCAUCCGGGAGGAACAAAAAUGUAUCAUACCAUUCGACCAUUUUAUUAUUGGCCGGGUAUGAAAAGAGAAAUUGCAGAAUAUGUGAGUAGGUGUAUUAUUUGCCAACAAGUGAAAGCAGAAAGGAAGAAGCCCUUUGGGCGAAUGCAACCACUUCCCGUUCCCCAGUGGAAAUGGGAAAAUAUAACAAUGGAUUUCGUGUAUAAACUUCCUCGUACGCGAAGUGGAUUUGAUGGUAUUUGGGUGAUUGUGGAUCGACUCACCAAGUCUGCGCAUUUCAUUCCUGUGAGGGAGAAAUACCCUCUGAAUAAAUUGGCUAAGUUGUUUAUUCGAAGAUUGUCAAGUAUCAUGGAGUCCCAGUAAAUAUUAUCUCCGAUCGAGACCCGAGGUUUACUUCUAAAUUUUGGGUGGCUUUUCAGGAAGCUCUGGGUACUCAAUUAUUGUAUAGCACAGCUUAUCAUCCUCAAACUGAUGGGCAAUCAGAGAGGACCAUUCAGACGUUGGAGGAUAUGUUGAGAUCUUCAGUACUGCAAUUUGGUGAUUCUUGGCAUGAUCGUCUGGACUUAAUGGAGUUUGCUUAUAAUAAUAGUUUUCACUCGAGCAUUGGUAUGUCCCCAUUCGAGGCACUUUAUGGUAGGGCGUGUCGAACGCCAUUAUGUUGGUCUGAGGUUGGCGAACGGAUAUUAGAAGGCCCUGAGAUCGUAGAUGAGACGACUCAAAAUGUUCAGGUAAUUAAGUCAAACCUGAAAGCAGCCCAGGAUCGACAGAAGAGUUUAGCGGAUCGGCAUACUACUGAUCGAGUGUAUGAUGUGGGUGAUUGGGUAUUCUUGAAAUUGUCGCCUUGGAGAGGUGUGGUACGAUUUGGGAAAAGAGGAAAGCUAAGUCUGAGAUAUAUUGGACCUUAUGUGAUCAUUGAAAGAGUUGGUGAAGUUGCCUACCGGUUGGAACUGCCUCCGGAGUUAUCUAAGGUCCAUAAUGUGUUCCAUGUCUCUAUGCUUCGGCAUUAUGUUUCUGAUCCUUCUCAUGUGAUUCCUCCUCAACCGUUAGAGAUUAAUCCGGAUUUGACUUAUGAUGAGGAACCGGUCACUAUAUUGGAUUGGAAAGAUAAAGUUCUAAGGAACAAGACGGUGAGUUUAGUCAAGGUGUUGUGGAGGAACCAUUCUGCAGAGGAAGCUACUUGGGAGACGGAAGACCGGAUGAGAGAGAUGUACCCAAGAUUAUUCUACGAGUAUUGAAUUAUGAUUUGGUUAUGGGAAUUUCGGGGACGAAAUUCUAUAAGGAGGGGAGAUUGUCACAGCCCGUCCCGGAGGUACUUUUGACGGGAAUGUGAAAUGACAGAAUUGCCCUUAUUGGACAUUAAGGUACGUAGGUACGUAACGUAUUUUGAAAAUAGCAUUGGUUGGAUGGGAUUUUAUUGGAAAUUGAUUUGUGGUAUGUUUGGUUAGGAUGAAGUGGAGGGUGUGGAUUAUUUUGGACCACACCUGAUCUUCCUCUCUCCCUCUCUUCCCCCGUGCUUUCCCUGUCUCUGUCUCUCCCUCACAAACUCACACCCUCACACACCCAUAUCGUACGGACCACCACCAAAACCCUUCAAAACUUGACGGAUCGGGGCAAAUAAGGUAUGUAUCUUCAUCGUUUUGACGUCCUGAGUUCAUUGGUACUAGUUUUAGGAAGUGAAACCUUCGAUUUCACGUAGAUCCCAAACCUCCAUUUUUGAGGUACUGUUCAUGCGAACGUAAAAUGUUGUGUUUCAGGAGAUUUCAAGCUUGUGGUGAGCUUUAGGAGGUCCUAAGGAAGCUCGGGGACGUUCGUUGGAGAAUUUUGGACGCCGGGAUCGUAGGUUUCAAGUUUGGCCGAACCCUUGGUUUUUGCAAGGUGAGAUUUCGUAGUUUUUAGGCCCUAAAACUAGUCCAACGUGAUAGUACACUCUUAGGGCUUCAAUUUGGUAUAAAAUACGAAGAAAAUGGGUGAAAAACGAAGGAGAACAGUGAGUUUGAAAAUCGGCCGGAGUUCGGCCGGAGUCCGGCCACCGGAGAACCAGUCCGGCGAGACCCUGCGAGGAAGAUGACACGUGCGCUGCACGUGCUGCGCGUGGCCAGCGCGUGGACCCGUGCCACGUGUGGCGCGUGGGGGCGCGUGGGGCUUCCAAAAAUUUUUCUAAAAAUUUCCCGACGCUCGUGACGUCGAGUAGGUCGAUGUGGUAUAUUCAUAUACCAAAAUUGAGCAUCGUAUGAGAAGUUAUUUCGAAUUAUUGGUGAUAUGCUUAAAAUUAAUGUUUUUAUAGUUGUUUCGCAUAUAGGUGAGACGUAUCCCGAGGACGACCGCAUCCAGGGACGCCACGGGGGUUACGACCCGUCGACUUAUCAGUGAGUGGGCAGUUUUGUUUUCGUAUUACCUAUAUACUAUUGUUUUUCCCAGAAAAAUGCUUUUAUGAGAAAUUAUGUUUUGAAAAUGCCAUGCAUAGAAUUAUUUGGAAAAUGUGAAUUUCAUACGAGUUAUAUGAUUGAUAUAUGAUGCAUACAUGUUGCAUGGUGCUGUGGAGGCACAGGUAAGUCAGGUGAGUUCAUUUAUUCAUUGAAUUGUUGUUGAGAUGUUUUGAGCUCAUAACCUGCACCCUAGGUGUUAGUGCUUAUUUUAUUCACCACACCGCACGCUCGCCUUGGAUCCAAGUAGGUGGAUGUCGUACAGACCAUGUGAGGGUUCCGACAUGCCAGUCGUACAGACCAUUAGAGGGGUUCCGACUAGUGGGUGACCUUAGAUAUGCGCGCUGAUGAUAUGAUGAGAGAAGCACUAGAGCGUAUUUUUACACCUUUCAUCGUAUAGACUACCUUACGUAGUUCCGAGUGAUGUGCAGAGUAGGGCCGUAUAGGUCACUGUGGUGACUCCGGCUUAGUGGGAUUUGAGCUAUUGAAUUAAUCGUAUAGGACCAACUGCAGGGUCUCCGAUUGAUUCCUUAUUUCACCUGAUUUAUAUUUUGAUUUAUGGCAUGGCAUGUUUUCUUGAAAAUGUUAAAGAUUUGAGAUUUAAAUGUUGAGAUUUUAUAUGGUUAUAUAUUUCUGGGAAAGUAUACAGGUUUAUACAGGUUUUUACGGCGAGGGGAUAUAACUGUUUUAAUGAAAUGUUUUGCAAAACUAAUUUGUUUUACUGACCCACUCAUUUUGUUUUGCGCCCCUCCAGGUUCUAGUUUAGCGGUGGUUG